GUUUUGCUGGACUAUAACGGCCAAUCAUGUCGCCCUCUCGAGGCGACGACACGGGUUCAAAUCCCGUCCGGGGCA
rnacentral:tRNA from 1 species